CUUGAAUUAAAACUUUGAGCAAAGGUAAAGAGCAUGUGUCCUUCAAGCAAGCAAAAGUUAGCAAAAAUAAAUAUCCCCCCACUCCCUGAGCGGAAAUCAGCAAUUUUUGAAUGCCAUUUUUUGUUUAGGCAUGAGUCCUAAGAAAGAACCAAAACGUCAGCUGUACUACGGAAAGUACUGAAAAUGUGGAAUUACCGGCUAAACUAUGUGGACUGUUAGCAGCGAGAUAACAACAAGAACAACAGCAACAACGACGUCAACAACAAGAACAACAACAACAGCAACAAUGACGACAACAACAACAACUAUUAACAGCGAGAUACUAAAAAUAAUUCAAAGGUAAGGACAAAAACUUUCCUUCUUAAACAUUGCACUGGACAAGUAAAAGGAAAAGAAUGUGUAUUCAGCUUGGAAAAAAUGGCUAUGUAUAGUCAUUCUUUCAUCUUUUAAUUUUCCAUUGUUACUAGUGUCUUUCAAAUGUUAUGGGGGAAUAAUAUUAAGCAUGGAUGGGGGUAAUGCUAGGGCCCAAGGUGAGAGGAAGAGUAUGCAAAAAGCUACUCCAUAAAAAUACUGUAGCCUCUACCAUAUACACUAUUACUAUAUUGCUGCAGAGCUUUUGUUGCCUCUAUCCUUGGCUAAGUGAAAACACAGGAUUCCACUAUUCACAUUGAAAUUACCACAUUGAUGUGUCAACAAAGCAAAAAAACAACUCAAGAAUAAGAAAUGUAGAAAUUUCUACAAAAAGUGAAUGGCCAGGUCUUUAGCACAUUUUGAUUCAACACGACUACCUAUUCUCAAUGUCAUUUCCUCCAGCUGGAAGGGCAAAUGGCUGCAGGACUUGCGGAAGAGCAACAUCUUUGUGUGGAAUAUAUCCAACAUCAUAGCUAGGGGAGCACACAACACGAAUUGCAUUCUUUACAAGAAAGGGAUGCCCUUCAGUUGCCCUGACACCAACAUCAUGACAGGUAACAAAGAAGUGAUCUGCACCCAUGGUUCUAUUCCAGUAAGGGUAUUUGGCUAUCAAACUAUCAACAUAAUUCUGGACAAUUAUGGUCAUGUUCUCAUAUGAUGUCCCCUGCAUUUCAUCAAACAAUCAUCUUCUUAUAACAUCAGAAGUCCCAAAAGUCAGGUAUAUUUGAUCCACCAAUCAUAAAUAGUAUAGGUAUCGUAAAUUUUAUGUUAGAAAAGCUAGAAUCAGAAAUAUACAAUAGAUUAUGAACAAAAAAUAUCCAUCCUCUCAGAAGUGUGACACUUUUCAAUGUUGCCACAUAAUGAUAAUAUUUUUCUAAACCAAGAGUUGUUACACUACUAAAGUAUACGAAGCACAGUAUGAGACUUUUUCAAUAUUGGCGCAGAGUGAUAAUAGUUACGAACCAGGAGCUGGUAUACACCUAAAGUACAACAGGAAGCACCUUACAUGGAUAUACACACAAUAGAAAAGAGAAAAACCUAUCCACAUUAAGUACGAAGGAAGAAGUGAUACCAGGGGCGGAUGCACCUUGGUCGACGUGAUGUUAUCCGACACUGCUUCGUUGAAUUUUUUUAAUAAAUAUAUGUAUAUGUACAAAAUGCGUAAAAGGACAACACCAGAAACAAUUUGUUCUUCAGCCUGCCUGGUUAAGUGCCUCAUACUUUUUAUAGAGGCCGUGCGUUCGAAUCUCUAGCAGCUUGAAUGUUAUAAAAUUUUGAGCACCAUGACAAAAAGUUCGGCUAAAAUAUAUUUUAGCCAACUUAAAACCCUAUUUUGAAAAAACUGUUCAUUCUCUACAUUUGCAAUUUCCGAAAAUUGGGCAUGCUGCUUGUGUUCUACUAUAAGUCACCUUGCUACGUUUUUCUUUCUCGACGAUAAAGUUGAGUAAUAGUACUAAUUUACUGAAUCAAAUGGUUAUUGACUUUUUGAAUGGUUAUUUGGUGCCUUAAAUUAAUAUUAUUUCUAAUGAAGUUAUUAUAAAUAAAUUUCAAAAAGUGAAUACUCUCAAUAGACUUAUAGUAAUACACUCGAAUUGCAUUUUAUUAUUAUAAUAUGUUUUGUUAAUAUGAUGUCGUUAUGCAGAAAUUUGUUUACUUAUUCACUUUUUUAAAUAUCGACACCACUUAUGAAAAGUUCUGCAUACGCCCCUGAGUGGCAUUACUCUAUACACAAAACUCUCAGUUUCCUAAUAAAAUGGAAAACACUUUUUCCAGCAUUUCUUGCUGCAUUUCCAGCUAACAGAGUAAGAGAUAAUACUAUGUUUUACUCUCUCCCUCCCUCAUUUGGAGCAGGUAUAUGCUUUUUUUAUCAGUCGGAGCAGGAAUAUGUCUAACCCUGACCUUACGAAAUGCCGAGUCAAAUAUGGGCAUCUGACUAAGGACUGACGCCUGAGGGAGUGAAAAACUUCUCUGCUUUCCAUACUUGACUUCAUUCAUAUGACAUGCAUUUGUUAUCCAAACAAAAUCUUAUGGCAUGCAUUGUUAUUUCCCUGAAACUAUCAGUAGCGUCUCCAUGGGAAAAAGAAGCUCUAUUAAGAAAAUUCUGGUUGCCACGAAAACUGCAUUGGAAAAACUAGCACAUUCAGCUACCAUACCCCCACAUAAACAGAUUCUGGAAUCUAUCAUCUAAUUCCUAACAUAAAGAUUUGCAUUAUAGCCAACAAUCAUAUGUGAAGUCAUUGUACUUCUUGUUCCUGCAUCCUGCACCCUCCCUACCAAAAGAUCCAACUGAAUUAAACAAAAUUUAAUCACCAUGUCUACCCCUCCUUGUUAACUUAUCUAUCAGUACCACUUACCAUCCUUAACUAAGAAAACAUCAAAUCCCCUUCGACCUUGUUAAGACAAUUAAUUCAUACAAACUAACUGAACGACUUUAGUACCAAUUAAAAUAUGAGAAAAAGAUGGCACCUGAUGCACUGUAUAAUGAAUUUAUUGUCACUCUCCAGUAAAAUUUUCAGCAUAUUAAGUAAAGCAGGCAUUAAAUUUAACAGUACUUCCAAAAUCUAACAACAUUAACAGCAUCUCAUACCAAAAUUCAGUUCAUAAACAUCAAAUAAAACCAAAUCUAACACAGACAAAAUAAAAUAAAAAUCAUAUUUUGCAUACUCUACAACAUUCCAUA
rnacentral:lncRNA from 1 species